GACGAACGCUGGCGGCGUGCCUAACACAUGCAAGUCGAGGGUUUUAGUAGUAAUACGAAGAACACUGGCGCACGGGUGAGUAACGCGUAGAUCAUCUGCCCCUAACACUGACAUAACAGUUCUAACGGACUGCUAAUAUCAGAUGUGAUAAGCAAUUAUUAAAGGGUAACCGGUUAGGGAUGAGUCUGCGUCUGAUUAGGUAGUUGGUGAGGUAACGGCUCACCAAGCCUACGAUCAGUAACUGGUCUGAGAGGACGAACAGUCACACUGGAACUGAGACACGGUCCAGACUCCUACGGGAGGCAGCAGUGAGGAAUUUUGGACAAUGGGCGAAAGCCUGAUCCAGCGACGCCGCGUGGGUGAUAAGGCCU
rnacentral:rRNA from 1 species